ACCCACCGCCAGACCAAAACUAUUAUAAAACUAAAUUGACAUAUGCUGAGUGGAAUACGUCAACCAGUUUGUAAGGCUAAUUCAGACCAAUGAAAAUGUGUGCAUAUCGACCUACUUGAAAUAAAGCAAACAGGAAAUUUAGUGUUGCGAGGCCUUCGAAAAAGAACGGCUUGUAUGGCAGUAAGUAUUAAAUUUGUAAACAUCCGGUUUAAAAGUCUGCGAAAUUUCAAGUCAUAAAUAAAAUGUAAAUGUAGAUAAUUUAAGUUCAUUAAUUGGACGCACUUUACAAAUUUUACAAGCUGAAUGGCAUUAAAACUACCACAGUCUUUAAACAAUGCUCUCAAACUGUAAUGAUUUAAGAAAAUGUCUCAUCUUGAAAUCUGGAGAUACAAGAAAACAUGAAGAAAAAACAUUUGUACAAGAUAGACAACAUUUAGAAUCAGUGUUAGGUCAAAGUCAGGAAUCCUGGUUUGAAUCAUUGACAGCAUGUCAAAUACAGAGUCGUAAAUGUAGCAAGGUUAAACAGAGAUGGUCAGUGAUUGACAGUCCUUCAAGUUCACCUACAGUCAGUCAGCUGAUACAUG